rnacentral:lncRNA from 1 species
GCUUGGGAUGCGGCUGGUGGGCUCCCUCCGGUGUCCCUGUGUCUUCUCUGCAGGUGUCCCGGCAGGUAGAGGAGGAGGCCAGUGGCUGGUGUUCCUUCAAGGCGGGGCUGGGACUCCUCGAUGUCCUUACGCUCGCCCUGCAGGUUCUGCGCCCCAGGACCCGGCAGGGACGGCAACAGGCCGGGAAGUAGUGACACCUGGGGCAGUCAGUCAUCCAGGAGCCGCCGCCACCCGCCCCACCCCCAGUCUCUGCAGGAGGUGUUUGUCUUCGCCUCUGCUCCCGGCUCUUUCUCUUUCACUUUUCUUUUCGCCAGUGGUUGGGACUCCGGGUGGAAGGCGCCCGGGGGAAUCCCAGCUGACUCGCUCACUGCCUUCGAAGUCCGGCGUCCCCCGGGAGGGAACUGGGUGGCCGCACCCUCCCGGCUGCGGUGGCUGUCGUCCCCCACCCUGCAGCCAGGACUCGAUGGAGAAUCCAUUCCAAUAUAUGGCCAUGUGGCUCUUUGGAGCAGUGUUCCAUCAUGUUCCACGAUGGUGACAUCAUACAGAGCACAGAAAUCAAUGUUAGCAGAUAACCAGCCCAUAUAAAAUCGAGUAAGUAAAGUUUUAAAAAUUGUAUCAUGCAAUAUAGAUACUUUUAUGUAAUAGCAUA